CCAAAUUUGAUCAAUUUCUUAAUAUUUUGACUUUUGUACCGAAACUCCUUAAUUCUGUGCGUGUGUGUGAACCGCGCAUCGAAUGAAGGCCCAACGGGAGAAUUGUUCCCGUUCAUGUGAGAGAGUAAGUUCGAGAGUAAGUUGGAGUAAAUGUUAAUUCACGGUUCCGUCUUCAAAAUCGUAUCUCGAUCCAUUCAAAUUGUAAACCUUUUUGUAUCUUUCCUUUUCGCAUACUUUUCACAUAUAUUUCUGUUCUCGACGAACCUUCUGUUUCCAUCUCAAUAAAUCUGAUUUCCCGGUUAAUAAUUAUUUGAGCGACCCAAUCUCCUGCUUAUUCGGGACCCGUACGGGACCAUAUAGGCACCCUUUCGUUAUUUCUUAAAUUAUUUCGAUUACUUAAUCACUUCAAUAUUGCAAUAUUUCCAAUUAUUUUAAUUUCAUUUAGACCAAACAAAAUAUUUUAAUAAAUAUUUCACAUUUCAAAAAUCCUACACUUUGUGUAGGUUGGUGGCAGCGAAAACUAAGUAAAAUUUCCCAAUUAUGUUCGUCCCUUCUGGACGUAACAUAGGAAAAUGAAGAUUUUCAUAAAGUGUUGAUCGGUCUUUGGAGUAUUCGCACGAGACUUACUGAUCUAGGCGAGAUUUCCUGGUUACCACAAACGUUUUGGAGUCAGUGGCUUCCACAACCAAUGUGACCAAUGUCUGAAGAACAUAUUUCGGAGGAACAGAUCUUCAGGCAACAAUCAGACAACGGAUCAACAGUGAUGGAUAGCAAGGAUGGGACAUGACAACCGACGAGGAGGAACACAAUGAUACGACGUUUAUAGCAGCACGAUCAUUGGAAUCAACAAGCAUGAGGAUGCAACAGAGGAACAGUAGCAAAGCUCGCAUACUCAAGCUUCACGUUGCAGCAACAACUCAAUGAUCUCGUCGAAUUGAAUGGUUCGAACGACAUCCGCAGGGACAGCGAGCCCCGCAGGGACAGAAAAAGCGGUACCGAUAGCAGCCAACAAACGAAGAUUGCACGAAGAAAAAAAAUUGUUUAAAAUCUAUUUGCAUACAUUCCAAUUGGCAUUUCAAUAUUACGUGCUAUGUUACGCGAAUUUUAUAUCGUUUUUGAAUUUUUUAUGUAUAAAGAAUUCUGUUUUACUAUACAUUUUGUUAUAAAACGAUUUGUGGUAAAAUUUUUAAUUUUUUUUUAAAUUUUACUUUUUUAAGU